GUAGGGAAUAUUGGUCAAUGGGCGAGAGCCUGAACCAGCCAUGCCGCGUGAAGGAAGAAGGCGUUCUGCGUUGUAAACUUCUUUUAUCAGGGAAGAAAACGUCCAUGCGUGGAUAAUUGCCGGUACCUGAUGAAUAAGCACCGGCUAACUCCGUGCCAGCAGCCGCGGUAAUACGGAGGGUGCAAGCGUUGUCCGGAUUUAUUGGGUUUAAAGGGUGCGUAGGCGGCUGAUUAAGUCAGUGGUGAAAGCCGGUAGCUUAACUAUCGAAUUGCCAUUGAUACUGGUUAGCUUGAGUACAGAUGAGGUAGGCGGAAUUUAUGGUGUAGCGGUGAAAUGCAUAGAUACCAUAAAGAACUCCGAUAGCGAAGGCAGCUUACUAAACUGUAACUGACGCUGAGGCACGAAAGCAUGGGGAGCAAACAGGAUUAGAAACCCUAGUAGUCC
rnacentral:rRNA from 1 species